rnacentral:sRNA from 1 species
UUAGGCCACAGUGUCUUGUUAUGACAGGUGCUCCAAACUCACGUCCAGCUUUACUUCAUCUUGUUCAUGAUUUCACAAAAAAUGUUGGUUUGAUGAUCUGUGGCCAUGUACAUAUGGGUCCUCGAAGACAAGCCAUGAAAGAGAUGUCCAUCGAUCAAGCCAAAUAUCAGCGAUGGCUUAUUAAGAACAAAAUGAAGGCAUUUUAUGCUCCAGUACAUGCAGAUGACUUGAGAGAAGGUGCACAGUAUUUGAUGCAGGCUGCUGGUCUUGGUCGUAUGAAGCCAAACACACUUGUCCUUGGAUUUAAGAAAGAUUGGUUGCAAGCAGAUAUGAGGGAUGUGGAUAUGUAUAUAAACUUAUUUCAUGAUGCUUUUGACAUACAAUAUGGAGUAGUGGUUAUUCGCCUAAAAGAAGGUCUGGAUAUAUCUCAUCUUCAAGGACAAGGUAAAUUUUGUUGGCAAUAAGUUUUUUAUUUAAAAAAAUAUAAACUACUUUGUUAGAAAAUUAUAUUCUCACAAACUGGGCUCUUCGUUACUUUUAAUAAUUAUGUAUUGUGGACUUAUUGUAUGGCAUUUUAAGA